AAUAUAUAUAGACACGUGUACAGGAUUUUAAUAUCCAAUCAUUUAUCACGGUACUUGCGCUGUAAAUAAUAAUUGUGAUUGCGCUGUUUUAAAUAUUUGAUUUCAACAGCCACCGUUCAGCGUUAUGUGUUUUACAAUAAUAUUUAUAUAAUGCAGUCGCAUAGGUCGCAUGUGGUUGGCGUAUAUAAUACGAACAUGUCGGAAAUAAUGGGAUUAAAUCAAUAUUGUUAAUAUUGUCUAAUAAACUCGCCGAAUAAAAAAUAAUCGUAUUAAAAUAAUUAUGCUUUGAUGUAGAACGGUGGAUAUUUGAAAAUCACACUUUUUAUAAUAAAUAGGUGUUCCUAUAAAUAAUAAUCGACUAUCAGGCGCGUCCUCGGAGACGUAAAUAAUCAUUAUAGUAUAUUGUUAUAGCUAUUUCGAACGUUCGGUUUUUUCGUUAUUCUGAUUCAAUUUGAAACCGCAAUCGGCAACAACAAAGACUCAUCAAUAAUAAUAUAUUACAGUAUUUAAAGCGCAAUCAACGGGUUUGUCUAUACAUUGUACUUACGGGCGUAGACGUAUUUAAAUAUUAUAGUUUUAUAGUAAUUUGAUCGUUUCAAACACAGUAACCUGGACGUUUAAAAUACGUGUAAUUAAUUAUUGCAACGAGUGGCCGAUCUGACGGGUUCGGAAAUAAUGAUGGAGGUAUUUGUGAGACAUUCGCGGUAUGCGAGCAUCGACAAUGGCUUAUUGAUAAUAUUAUUGUAAUUUAUAAUGUUUGACUGAAAGGGCUAUGCCGCGUGCUUGACGUAGGUCGGGAUCGGCUUGUCUCGCGAUAAAAGACGUACGCGCGAUGCUAUCAGCGCGCGUCAUGCGUCCGAUUCCCAAUCGAUUAUUAUAAUAAUACGCAUGAGAUACCUAUAAUACUUCAAUCGGG